rnacentral:rRNA from 1 species
AUUGAACGCUGGCGGCAGGCCUAACACAUGCAAGUCGAACGAGUGGCGGAUGGGUGAGUAAUGUCUGGGAAACUGCCUGAUGGAGGGGGAUAACUACCGGAAACGGUAGCUAAUACCGCAUACCAUCAGAUGUGCCCAGCUGGGAUUAGCUUGUUGGUGGGGUAACGGCUACCCAAGGCGACGAUGCCUAGCUGGUCUGCGAGGAUGACCAUCCACACUGGAACUGAGACACGGUCCAGACGCCUACGGGAGGCAGCAGUGGGGAAUAUUGCACAAUGGGCGCAAGCCUGAUGCAGCCAUGCCGCGUGUAUGAUGAAGGCCUUCGGGUGGUAAAGUACGUUCAGCGGGGAGGCGUUACCCGCAGAAGAAGCACCGGCUAACUCCGUGCCAGCAGCCGCGGUAAUAC